UGCAACCCCAUUCAGCUAGGGCCCCCCUCCCUUCCUACUCUAGGAAGAAACCGCAACCCUCCCCCUUGUCGCGCCGCCGCUCUCCCCCAACCACCUCGCCGGCAAACAGGUGAUGUCCGACCUGUCGCCCUCGCACCUGGCACCUUCGCACCUCCCACCUCUCGGCCUCACCUCCCAUGGACCCUGCGCCAUUGUCUUUUCAUCCCACUAUCGUACUCGCAUGCCACGACCGCCCUACUCGAAGGCCACGAACCCUGCCGUGGUUGUCGAAGCCGGCCAAGUCUGGCGGUGACUAACAUCAGAAGGUAGAGCGACCGGCCCACGUUGGACGAUCUGUUGUCCGAGAGGUGCAGCUAGGGAAAGCAAAAGGUCAAGGUGAACAACGCGGUCCUCUUGGAAGACAAGCUACUGUCUGAGUUGAGUACAAGCAAAUUUCGUUCCGGUCUGCUAGGUUUUACCCUUCGUCCCUCCUGGUUCAUUCGGGUCUGCUAGGUUUCACCCUUCUUUUGGUUCGUUCGUGUCUGCCAGAUUUGUAAUGGUAGAUUUGUUGGUUGCUGUAUAGUUGUAGAGGUGGAGUAAGUGAACGCAAAACGAGGUGAACAGCGCGGUGCUCUUAGACCGGCUCACUUAGGGCAAGCUGUCCCGACUCCCGAGGUGGUAAAUCUGAUAUUUCUUCAAGCUCUGUUCGAAGUGAAAGCAGAUCGACCCUCCAUAAUCUCCAAUAUCCUUCUCUGACAGUAUUUGGGUCAAUGGGUCCCUGGCUUUUAUCUCAAGGAUCUGAUUGAUCGUGAACUAAUCUGCAAGGCUUUGCUUCACCGAAGCCAGCAAAUCUACAUCCAGGAAUCCACCACCUAAGGGUUUUUACUGUACCUUGGAACAUUUAAUCUUUAUAUAUCUAGCUUGCUCAUGUUUUGUGGAUUUCAGAGAGUAGUUUAGGUUCUUUGCUUGUUUGUCUUUUGUAUACUGCUGUGUCUUGCAAUAGCUCAUUUUCAUUGAUUAAUUCGUGACAUAAUUAUCAAGUUUAGAAUUUUUGUGGAAUAAUUUGCCAUGUUUAUCGAAUCGAAACCCUGAAACUCAGGUGGUGGUGUACCACUAAAAUUGAAGCAAAGCUGUUGUAUGUCGUCAGCUUGGCGGUGAACCCUUUAGUUAUUUUUGAGCUUUUUUAACAUAAUCAUAUUCUGUUAGAUGCACAUUUUGCUGGCUGCUCUACUAAAGCCUCACUAGCCCUGCUAACUUGUGUAGUAAAUAUUCAUGCUUUAGAUUUUUGUUGGCCAUCUUUUCCUUUUAACAGUAUUGCGCAUGGAUUAUGCCCAAGCAACCAUCCAAGUUUACUUUGGAACUGUUAAUCUUUAUCCAGCUUCCUAAUGUUUUGCUAAAUGAGGCACUAAAACAUUUCAGAGAGUAGUUUGGGUUCUUUGUUUUGCAUUUUAUAAAUUACUGUGUGUCUUGCAUGAUCAAGUAUUAAUGAAAUUUUGUGGCAUUCUAUUUUUGCUAUUUUGAGAGUCUGUGUCACAAAAAUUGAAGCAAAGCUGUUUUAUGUCAUCAGCUUGGCAGUGAACUGUUUAGUUGUUUCUAAGCAUUGUUAAUUGUAUUUUUUUACCAAUUAGAUGUGCAAAAUUUGCUGGCUGCUCUAUUAAAAGUCUCACCAGCCCUGUGAACCUGUGUAGGAAUUAUUCAGGCUUUGGUCGCUGCAGAGGUGCAGCUAGCGAAAGCAAAAGGUGAAGGUUAACAAAGCGGUCCUCUUGGAGGACAAGCUGCUGUGUGAGGUGAGUACAAGCAGAUCACCAUAUUCCCUUCUUCUGGUUCGUUCAGGUGCAAAGGUGGAGCAAGGGAAAAAGCAAAAUGAGGUGAACCUUGCGGUGCUCUUAGGCAGACCCACUUAGGGCAAGCUCCAAGGUGCCAAGUAGAUCACCCCUUGGUCCCUUCGAGUAUGUUUGGGUCUGUGAGCUUUCUUCAAGCUGUUGUCUGAAGUGAAAGCAGAUCGCCCCUCCAUCAUCUCCAGUAUACUUCUCUGAUAGGCUUCUGAUGGAUGAGUUCCUGGCUUUUAUCUCAAGGAUCUGAUUGAUUGUGAACUAAUCUGCAAGGCCCAUUGCUCAUUAAUUGCUCACCAAUCUGUAGGGCCCAUUGAUCAAUGGAUCUGAUUGUUCUCAUUGUGAACUAAUCUGCAAGGCCAAUUUCAGGCUUCACUGAAGCCAACAAAUCUACAUCCAGGUAACCACCACCUAAGGGUUUGAAAAUCUACCUUAGAACAUUUAAUCUUUAUCCAGUUUGCUCAUGUUUUGUUGAUUGAGGCACUUGAACAUUUCAUAGAGUAGUUUAGGUUCUUUGCUUGUUUAUCUUUUAUGUACUGCUGUGUCUCGCAAUAGCUCAUUUUCAUUGAUGAAUUCAUGACAUAAUGAUUUUGAAAUUUUCUGGAAUAGUUUGCGUGUUUAUCGAAUCAAAAUUCACAAAUGUGAACCCUGAAACUCACGUGGUGGUGUACCACUAAAAUUGAAGCGAAGCUGUUGUAGGUCGUCAGCUUGGCAGUGAACUGUUUAGUUAUUUUCAAGUAUGUAAGUGCAUCUAGUGCCCCUUAGUGAUUUUGGUGUAUUGAAGACUUAUAGGUUAAGGGACUAAUGUGUUUAUGAGUGUACACAGGUCUAUAAGUCUAUGAGGAGUUUGAUAUUUACAGAGAAAGUCGACCCCUAAAAAUGAAUAUCUUCG